GUGCACUUAGUGGCGCCACCUACAUGAGAGAAAUCUAAGUGUGCUGACGAAAUGGUUCAACAUUUUUUAAAGUAGCGCCUAGCUAUUUUUCUUUUUUUGUUUCUUUUUAUGUGCUUUACUCUUUUUUCUUUCUGAGAUGCCCAGAAGAAUAGAUACUUCAUUAAAGAUACUGGUAGGUCUAAUUCUACUCAAACUACUUCUGGAGUUCACCGACUAUGAGUGCUCAUCCUACGGUGCCCCCUCCAUCUCGGGAACCAAACACGAGAAGCCGCCUAUGAUUUUCACCGAUGAGUUUUUCUGAGCCCAGUCUGUUCGUCUGCUAGAUCUACUGUUUGCUAGAAUGUUGCGAUCUUUGAAAAUUUUAGUUCUCGCUAUCUUCUUCGUCCUGGCCCUAUUGAUACAGUGUGGGGUUGGCGUUGGGAAGUUGGUUUUUAACUGUGUUUACAGCCUAUUUUGUUCAGUGUACCAGAAGAACUUCAGAAAUGAACAGACUGAACGCCAUCCUUCAGAGCCUUGCUGAAAAGGACUUUAUAUGAUGCUUCCUGCUGGUCAAUUAAUCACUGAUCAUCUUUCUUUGGGGAAAUGAUAAAUUAUUUAAAUACACUGCUGUCCUGAAUUUUUAAAUUAAUUUUGAUUGGUUUACGCAAUCAGUCCAAAGAAAUAAACACAAAGAUGUUUACAAACAUUAUAAAAAAAAA